AUGAGGUAAAACAAGAGAUGGAGAGAUGUAAAAAUGACCCUCUUUUUUCCUAAAGUGGGACUGACAGAAAGUCAAUAUAAUGACUUUGACUCUUUUUUUUCUUGUUUCUUCAUCUGCAGAGACUGGGGAGAUCAUAGAAUCAUGGAACUAUGAAGAUUGGAAGAGACCUUUGAAAUCAGAUAAAAGAAGGAAAAGGAUAAUCCAGGCUUCAAACCUCUUUGCUGAUUUUUGCAUAAUUUGAGAUUAUUUGGGUUAAAUAAUUUAAUCUCUUCUACCACCAGAUAAAUUGAAAAUAGCCAGAAGGAAUGGAAACAACUGAAAAUGUGUACAACACUGAAGAUAUGAGAAAUACUUGUGACUUCUGUACUGGCAUCGAGGAAACAAGGAGAAGGCAGAAGUGUGUAGAGAAUGAGAGUCCUUCCAGAAUCAUACAAAAGCACUGUGCGUACAAAAGCAGACACUGAGAUGAAGGUUUACAUUUACAGGCUUUUGUCCUGUCUGGCACACCAUCUUGUGGAGCACCAGUGAGAUGCAAAUGAUUGUUUCUGCUCAGUUUAAUCUCCCAUCCUAGCUAUGGAAAAGUUAAAAUUAAUUUUGUUUCCUCCUCCUUCAUUUGAUGGCUACUUGGGUAUUUUUUCUGAAGGUCAAACCUUUCCUUGUAUCUAUUGUAAAGAAUCAGUGUAACUCCAUCCUCACUUCUGUUAGCACCACAGCUGGUUUCUGAGUCCUUUGAUUUUGUAUUUUCUUGGACUCACUUCUUUGCCCAGCACUCUUCAGGAAGGACAGUGCUGACCAUGCUGUGUGUGAUCAAUUUCCAUCUUCCAAAGUCUUUUUCAAGCAGCUAUUUUGGCCUAAGUUUCUACGCAUCAAUAAAGUAUCUUUUUUAUCUUUUGUCUCAACCUAUUCUUUUGUCCUGAUUCAUGUAGCAUUUAUUCAGGAUAUAGAGCAUUUCAUAUUGCAUUUCUUAAUUGAAUUGUACAUUUAUGUUACUAAAUAGUAAAAAAGGCAUAAAGGAUACAUAUUUCAUUCUUGUUUUGGAAAAUGAAUGCAAAAAGACAGAUGGAUGCUGGUUUUCCAAGGCCUGGAAGGACUGGAGACAAGCUCCACAAUCUGCCAUGCAUCAAGAAGAGAUCCAAGAGAAGGGAGACCUUCCUCCCUCCAGAGAGAUGUGGCACUAUGGUUCUCCAGUAGACUGUCCUAAAGAAGGCACUGCUAACACCUACCCAGCCUGACCCAGAUAAUUUAAACCAACAUUUUCUUCCACUCUUAACUGCCUUCUCUGCUUAAAAGUACCUAGUCCAAAGCUGCUGAGCUAACAUUGAGAGGAGGAGGUUUCAAAGCAACCCACUCUGUGCCAGUGUCAUGCAACAUUUUGGAUCUCUGAGCUGUCCAGGUUAGGGCUUCCCAGUCUCAGUCCAGCGGCUGAGCUGCAGCCUUUGGUUUCUGGAAAACCACAGCAAAACCAACCACAGACCCAGGAGGGACGUGAUGAAUCUGCAAGUGUAUUGAUUUUAUUUUAUGGGUUAUCACAGCAGAUGUUUUCAAGUUAACAUUUUCACCACAAAUAUUCAUUUUAAUGUAACUCAGUUGCUCUUUGGUAAUUCAAAAGAUGAUCAGUCACUUGACAGGACAAAGCACUGAAGCAGUGAGUAAAUAAAGGAGACAGGUUCUGCUGCUGCCACAUUACCUCUGUUUUGUCACACUGCAUGUGUCACCAGGGAGCAAGGAUUACUUUAAUUACCAACUGCUUUAAUAUCAAAUAGUUAUUAUGGAAAAUAGCAGGUCAUGUUCAUUUAUUUUUUCAGCAUGACAAGGGGAUGACUUUUAAUACUUGGUAGUGGCUUGAGGAGACUAAUGGAGAGGGAGGCAGGAGUGGAAGGAAAGCACAUAUCCACAAAUUGCAGUUUCAGAGGGGUUGCUGUCAUUCAAAAGAAAGUAUGAAAUGGCUUUCAAACUUCUGGGUUAUCUCGCUCAGUCUAUCAGAAUUUCUACUCUGAUAAUGAGCUGCCCUGAAAUGUUCACUGUCUUACAUUUCAGCAGCUUAUAAUUGAUGAAGUUGGCAGGAAAAGUUUAUUCCUUUGACUUCUGCUUUUCCAAAAGCUACUGUAAACUUUCAAAUGUCUCUGAUAAAUUAACAUGGAAAGCAAAUGGUCGCCUAGCUCAGUCCCUUGGAAACACCAUGGAGAGGUAUAACUAGACAUAUUUAGUUGUUUUUAACUUUAAUCACAUAUUUGUGAUUAAAGUAUUUUUGAAACUUCUGAGUUUGAUACCCCUUGUGGACAAGAUAUUGAGCUUAGAUGAGUUUAAAAGGGGAGAAUAAGCGCUGUGGUACUACGCUGUGUUGCAUGCCUCUCUGCCCCUCCACCCCAGUGUCUGUCUUUAAGGGCCAAGGGAAGGUCUAAACUCAGGUAGUUUUUUGUACCUUUGCUUUGCCUGUGAAACUUCCUGCCAAGGACUCUCUGAUCAUUGCUGUCAAAGCUAAACACUAUUUGUUCCAUCUCCACCAUACAGAAAAACAAAAUAAAACUCAGUUUUGAC